CUCUGCAUGUAGCUCAGUUGCUUAUAGUGCGCUGACCCGGAGUCACAGGGGCGCAGGUUCGAUUCCUGCUAGAGAGA